GAUGAACGCUAGCUACAGGCUUAACACAUGCAAGUCGAGGGGAAACGAUAUUGGAAGCUUGCUUCCGAUAGGCGUCGACCGGCGCACGGGUGAGUAACGCGUAUCCAACCUGCCCAUCACUUGGGGAUAACCUUGCGAAAGUAAGACUAAUACCCAAUGACGUCUCUAGAAGACAUCUGAAAGAGAUUAAAGAUUUAGCGGUGAGGGGUGGGGAUGCGUCUGAUUAGCUUGUUGGCGGGGUAAAGGCCCACCAAGGCGACGAUCAGUAGGGGUUCUGAGAGGAAGGUCCCCCACAUUGGAACUGAGACACGGUCCAAACUCCUACGGGAGGCAGCAGUGAGGAAUAUUGGUCAAUGGGCGAGAGCCUGAACCAGCCAAGUAGCGUGCAGGAAGACGGCCCUAUGGGUUGUAAACUGCUUUUAUAAGGGAAUAAAGUGGGAGCCGUGACUCCUUUUGCAUGUACCUUAUGAAUAAGGACCGGCUAAUUCCGUGCCAGCCGCCGCCGUAA
rnacentral:rRNA from 1 species